rnacentral:rRNA from 1 species
GACGAACGCUGGCGGCGUGCUUAACACAUGCAAGUCGAACGGAAAGGCCCUGAGUUUGUGGGGUGCUCGAGUGGCGAACGGGUGAGUAACACGUGAGUAAACUGCCCUUGUCUUUGUGAUAACUUCAGGAAACUGGGGCGAAUACAGGAUAGGAGCUCCUGCUGCAUGGUGGGGGUUGGAAAGUUUCGGCGGUUGUGGAUGGACUCGAGGCUUAUCAGCUUGUUGGUGGGGUAGUGGCUUACCAAGGCUUUGAAGGGUAGCCGGCCUAAGAGGGUGACCGGCCACAUGGGGACUGAGAGACGGCCCAGACUCCUACGGGAGGCAGCAGUGGGGAAUAUUGCACAAUGGGCGGAAGCCUGAUGCAGCAACGCCGCGUGCGUGAUGACGGCCUUCGGGUUGUAAACCGCUUUCGCCGGUGACGAAGCGUGAGUGACGGUAAUGGGUAAAGAAGCACCGGCUAACUACGUG